CAGAUAACCAUGCAGCAUUCAUCACAAGUUUUGCUGGUAUUGUUGACUAGCAGUCUCCUACGUACAGUAGCAUCGCCACCGUUCCUCGCUGUGAUAGAUGAAGAUCCGCUGUGGAGAGCAAAAGACAUUCUCAACCUCCUGUUGCCUGAGUCGACCUUUGACCACUGCACUUUCUUCCUCAUCAGCGAUCAGACAAUGGAUCAUUCAUCAGUCCGUAAGCUGUCCGAGUCGUGGAACUGUGGCGGUGCGCACUUUGAAGCAAAGACUGAAACAAGCUCUGCAAACUUCACCCAGCAGCUCAUUCCACAAACGGUCAUGGUGAACCGUGCGCGUCAGGUGAGUAACUG